rnacentral:misc_RNA from 1 species
UCGCUGCUUACGCAGGCAGUCCCCCUAGAGUUCCCGGCAUGACCCGUUGGCAACUAGGGGCGAGGGUUGCGCUCGUUGCGGGACUUAACCCAACAUCUCACGACACGAGCUGACGACAGCCAUGCAGCACCUGUGUCGGCUCCCCUUGCGGGGUCGGGCCCCUUUCGGUUUCCUACCACCGACAUGUCAAGCCCAGGUAAGGUUUUUCGCGUUGCGUCGAAUUGAACCACAUGAUCCACCGCUUGUGCGGGUCCCCGUCAAUUCCUUUGAGUUUUAACCUUGCGGCCGUACUCCCCAGGCGGUCAACUUCACGCGUUAGCUGGGCCCCUGAUCCACGUAGACCAAGGGCGAACACUCAUCGUUUACGGCGUGGACUAC